GGAGGAGAAAAAGGAGGAGAAAGAAGAGGAGGAGGAAGCGGAGAAGGAAAAAAGAAAAAAGAAAAUCAUUAACAGCCUCCCCGAUAAAAAGCAGAAUAUUUUUAUGAAGCAGUGAAGUAACAGACAGGAAGGCAAGACAAAAAAUCAGAAAAAAAUUAACAGCUGAAUUAUGAUGAGAUCAAGGCGUUGCUACAGAAAAUAUCUCACCCAAAUAUGCAGCCAUAAAUUGGGAGCCAGGGAGGCCCAAGUCCAUUGGCAUAGGAUGAUACAACAUUGGGAUAUGAAGAGGUAUAGUAUUUGGUGAAGAGACAUGAAAGAUUAGUGGAACUUCUUGGACUAUCACUAAACUAUGCAGAUAAAACAUAUUUCACAUUUAAAAUAAAAAUCUGUGA